GCGGAGGGAUCAUUACCGAGUUUACAACUCCCAAACCCAUGUGAACAUACCUACUGUUGCUUCGGCGGGAUUGCCCCGGGCGCCUCGUGUGCCCCGGAUCAGGCGCCCGCCUAGGAAACUUAACUCUUGUUUUAUUUUGGAAUCUUCUGAGUAGUUUUUACAAAUAAAUAAAAACUUUCAACAACGGAUCUCUUGGUUCUGGCAUCGAUGAAGAACGCAGCGAAAUGCGAUAAGUAAUGUGAAUUGCAGAAUUCAGUGAAUCAUCGAAUCUUUGAACGCACAUUGCGCCCGCCAGUAUUCUGGCGGGCAUGCCUGUCUGAGCGUCAUUUCAACCCUCACGCCCCUAGGGCGUGGUGUUGGGGAUCGGCCAAAGCCCGCGAGGGACGGCCGGCCCCUAAAUCUAGUGGCGGACCCGUCGUGGCCUCCUCUGCGAAGUAGUGAUAUUCCGCAUCGGAGAGCGAUGAGCCCCUGCCGUUAAACCCCCAACUUUCUAAGGUUGACCUCAGAUCAGGUAGGAAUACCCGCUGAACUUAA
rnacentral:rRNA from 1 species